rnacentral:sRNA from 1 species
AAAAGGGGUAGCAACCCGGAAAGUAGACUCAUCGUCUUGGUCUAGAGACUGAGCCCUGCACAGACAGACCCCUUCCCCUCUCUGCCAAAGACCCAAGCCCCAGAAGUCACUCCAUCUCCUACGGCUCGCAAUUUCCAGAGGCCCCCUGGCACCUUCCAGCCUGAUGUCGUGCGUCAAGUUAUGGCCCAGCGGUGCCCCCGCCCCCUUGGUGUCCAUCGAGGAACUGGAGAACCAGGAGCUCGUCGGCAAAGGCGGGUUCGGCACAGUGUUCCGGGCGCAACAUAGGAAGUGGGGCUACGAUGUGGCGGUCAAGAUCGUAAACUCGUGAGUGACCCCGGUUGCCCCCCAGCCGCAAUCUGGCCAAAAAGGAAGGCGAUAUCCAGGGAGGUCAAGGCCAUGGCAAGUCUGGAUAACGAAUUCGUGCUGCGCCUAGAAGGGGUUAUCGAGAAGGUGAACUGGGACCAAGAUCCCAAGCCGGCUCUGGUGACUAAAUUCAUGGAG